GGAAUAUUGGGCAAUGGGAGAAAUCCUGACCCAGCGACGCCGCGUGAACGAUGAAGGCCUUAGGGUCGUAAAGUUCUUUUGCACAGGAAGAAGGAAGUGACGGUACUGUGCGAAUAAGCCCCGGCUAACUACGUGCCAGCAGCCGCGGUAAUACGUAGGGGGCGAGCGUUGUUCGGAAUUACUGGGCGUAAAGGGCGCGCAGGCUGUCGAUCAAGUCAGCUGUUAAAUAUUGCGGCUUAACCGUGAUAUGCAGUUGAAACUGUUCGGCUGGAGUAUCGGAGAGGUAAGCGGAAUUCCCAGUGUAGCGGUGAAAUGCGUAGAUAUUGGGAAGAACAUCGGUGGCGAAGGCGGCUUACUGGCCGGUAACUGACGCUGAGGCGCGAAAGCCAGGGUAGCAAACG
rnacentral:rRNA from 1 species